rnacentral:lncRNA from 1 species
AGUGAACCCAGGGUCUUGUGCCUGCGAGGCAGCCCUCUACCAACUGAGCUAUGUGCCCAGCCUAGAAGUUUAGCUCUUGAUGGUGUAAAGUCCCUAAUGUGUGUUGCUGCUCAGUGGGCAGCUUUCUUCCAUGAGGUUUCCGGGACACCGGCUCUUCCCGUCUGUGGUGCUCAUGUGUAUCCAGCCAUGGAGGAGAAGGGAGGACAGCCAGUCACCCGCACUCGGACCAUCCUAGCCCGGAAGUGGUGCACGCUGGUCAGGUUCCCGUCCACUGGUAAGAGCUGUCCCAAGGACUCACCUCGAGGGCAGACUGCGAGGAGGUGGUUCCUGGCUGGGCCGAUGCCUCCCAGCCACAGCUGCAGACUCUGGAGCAAGUGUGCGGGUGGACAGAGCCUCUCCAGGGCUUGCUUGUGGCGCACACCUGUAAUCCCAGCUGCUUGGGAGGCUGAGGCAGGAGGAUCGCGAGUUCAAAGCCAGCUUCAGCAACUUAGUGAGACCCUGCUAUAUAAAAUAUAAAAGAAAGGGCUGGGGAUGUGGUUCGGGGUUAAGCACUCCUGGGUUCAAUCCCCUGUACAAAUAAUAAUAAUAAUUCCGAAGUUCUGUGUACUUUUCUAGGUCUGUUGCUCCUAAGCCUGCUUCUCUUCCAGGCCUGAUACUCCCAAACUCCUGGGAAAUCUGUAAAUUUACCUGUACACUGUCAAUGACCCCCAGUAAAUAGAUUAAGCAAAGGGAGAUGACAAUCUUGAGGACUCUGUAGUAUAGGGGCCUUCCCAGCACUGUGUACUGAUCGGGCGAUGGUCGAGAGCCACCCGGGGACUGGGUGUGGAUGAUAUUGCGCGUCGCAGCCUAGUGAACAGGUUUAUCUGGAGUCAGGAAACCUGCAGUGGACAUUUCCUCUGGUUGACCGCCCACACACAUAGUGAGCCCUAUGCGGCUCUGCUGGUCCUGCACAGCACCGGAGAUGGGGUGACCUGCUACAACCACCCAGACGCCCAGCCCCUCUGAGAUGGGUGUGACCUGCCCAGAUGCCAAUCAACCUGCUGACUGCAAGAUGUCAGGACGCAAGACUCUGCCCGAGAAGCCUUCCCCCUGCCUUUGAUGUGCCCCCUUGAGUGAACCCUGGGAGCCAUUUUUCUAGUUGUCCAUCUCCAGCUCCUGUGUGGACUGGACCCAUCAGGGCUCCAUCUUUAAAACUCUUUCUGACUCACGGUCUUUUGCUCUUCACUGAUCAUUCUAGACUUUCAUUUCUCAGGAGGCUUAUCCCCCUGAGCAGGCGAGAAUCCCCUGGCGAGGUGCUGGCUACCCCAUGAUAGGUAAUGGAGGCUCCCAAGACUGACCAGACCACCGGGACUCAUCUCGGGGUCCUGCCACCUUCCCAUGCCCACCUUUCUCCAGGUUUCCUUUAAAAGAAGAGCCAGGAACCCCCAAACCAGCUC